AAAGUCGUAACAAGGUUUCCGUAGGUGAACCUGCGGAAGGAUCAUUAUUGAUUUAGCGAACCGAGCGUUAGCGAGGUUUUGCGAUCGCUUAUAUUUAAAACCCACUCUUAAACGUAUAAAAUUUUUAUAUAAUAAUAAAAAAGAUCACUUUCAACAACGGAUCUCUUGGCUCUC
rnacentral:misc_RNA from 1 species